AAGACCUUGCACUUUUGGAGCGGCCGAUGUCUGAUCAGCUAGUUGGUGGGGUAAUGGCCUACCAAAGCUUCGAUCAGUAGCUGGUCUGAGAGGACGGCCAGCCACACUGGGACUGAGACACGGCCCAGACUCCUACGGGAGGCAGCAGUGGGGAAUUUUGGACAAUGGGCGCAAGCCUGAUCCAGCCAUGCCGCGUGAGUGAAGAAGGCCUUCGGGUUGUAAAGCUCUUUCAGCCGGGAAGAAAAGGUUGCGACUAAUAAUCGCAAUUCAUGACGGUACCGAAAGAAGAAGCACCGGCUAACUACGUGCCAGCAGCCGCGGUAAUACGUAGGGUGCGAGCGUUAAUCGGAAUUACUGGGCGUAAAGGGUGCGCAGGCGGUUUUGUAAGUCAGAUGUGAAAUCCCCGGGCUUAACCUGGGAACU
rnacentral:rRNA from 1 species